UCUCUAUUAGUAAGUGUGUUACUUGCCCUGAUGAGUCCGAAAGGACGAAACAGAAU
rnacentral:hammerhead_ribozyme from 31 species